rnacentral:rRNA from 1 species
UACGUAGGGUGCAAGCGUUGUCCGGAAUUAUUGGGCGUAAAGAGCUCGUAGGCGGCUUGUCGCGUCGGCUGUGAAAACCUGGGGCUCAACCCUGGGCCUGCAGCCGAUACGGGCAAGCUAGAAUUCGGUAGGGGAGACUGGAAUUCCUGGUGUAGCGGUGAAAUGCGCAGAUAUCAGGAGGAACACCGGUGGCGAAGGCGGGUCUCUGGGCCGAUACUGACGCUGAGACGCGAAAGCGUGGGGAGCGAACAGG